UUUGUGAAGUGUGCUGGACUAGUGUAGUUUGUGAAGUGUGCUGGACUAGUGUAGUUUGUGAAGUGUGCUGGACUAGUGUAGUUUGUGAAGUGUGCUGGACUAGUGUAGUUUGUGAAGUGUGCUGGACUAGUGUAGUUUGUGAAGUGUGCUGGACUAGUGUAGUUUGUGAAGUGUGCUGGACUAGUGUAGUUUGUGUGGACUUUGCCUACACAAGGCUACUACUUUUUACAACAAGCUACCGAGCUGCUAAACUUUAGCUACAAACACUGCUAACGUGUUACCCUCGGGUGGCUCGUCUCUAAGCCAGUGUCCGAGUGGUAAUCAACAUGGGAACCAAGAAGAACAAGGAGGACAUCGACGAAAUGAGAAAGUCGCUUGACUUUCUGACGGAGGAGAUGUCUGUUGUGAGUAAAGAGCAGAAAACGAUCAUGGAGCUGGUUGCGGAAGUGACGACGCUGCGGAUCCAGAACGCCGAGAAGGACAAACGACUCGACUUUUUGGAGAGCAGGGUCCAAGCUUUGGAGCAAUACAGCAGGAUAAAUGAUGUGAUUGUAUCGGGUCUCCACAUAAAACCCCGGUCAUACGCGCGGGCGGUGACCGCCGGUAAGAACGCGGGGGCGAGCGGUGUCGCCGACGGUGAGCUGGAUAUCUCAACGGAGCAACAAGUGGCUACCUUUGUACAGUCCAAAGGAAUCACACUGGACUGUAACACCAUCGAGGCUUGCCAUACCCUGCCCAGGAGAAACAACGACAGCAAUGACAAACCAGCUGUCAUCAUAAGGUAUCUUGACCAUCACUUGGAGCCCACACAAGUUUGCUGAGCGUCUGAGGACAGCAGAAGAGGACAAGCAAAAAUGAAGGUGGAGAUGUGGAAGGUGCACGCCACGCUAUGGCGCUAUGAGAUGCUGAAGAAGUGGACGGCGACUAGACCAUAACUCACAGCUUCAAGUUGCUCCACUGUCACGUCUCCUCAGGGGCGCAGUUGGCUCUCUCUCCUCUCACUUACUCACUCACUCGCCCUCUCUCUCUCUCUCUCUCUGGCGGAAGCGGCAGGCUCAUGGUAAUGUACAGUAGGACAUUCAGCAGGUGAUGGACGGAUUGUCUCAAAACGAGCGGAAAAAAGUGGAGGAUCAUCUCUUACGCGAAAUCGAAAAGGCCAGAGUCAUAGAACGUCAAAAUGGCCAAAAGCAGCUUCAUCUCUCCCAAGAAGAGACUCGUCUCGCCCACGAGCAGCUUCACAUAGAACGUCAAAAUGCCAACGAGCAGACUUAUCGCGCCCAAGAGCAGAUUCAUCUCGCCCAACAGCAGAUUUAUGAAUUAAAAAAAGAGCUUUUCAAAGAAAAAUUAAAAUCCCUGGAGAAAAACCAAAACCAAAAAGCCGCCUGUGAGGACGAGCAGGACGAUUCCGGUUUAGGAACCAGCCGGGGCCCCGCUGAUAAGAUGCCGGCGGCCAAAAGGGCCAAAAGGGGUCCAACUAAGAGGAAGAAGGAGCAGCAGGCUGAGGAGCAGCAGUAAUCAUCUCUGCUGACAUCACAGAGGAGCAGAAAGAAGGAAGGACCUCCAAUAUUUCGAAUACACGUUCAACUAAAUAUAUGUUCCACUAUAAAUGUUAACUCUUGUUAAAAUAGUUUUUUAGUUAGUGAUUUAAAGGAGUCAUUCAUGUUUAGUAUUUGUGUAAUGGCUGAUAGUUAUUUAUUCACUUGAAAUAAAAGGUUCAGGCUGA